rnacentral:tRNA from 1 species
GGGUGUGUAGCUCAGUUGGUUAGAGCACUUCACUGAUAAUGAAGAGGUCCUUGGUUCAACUCCAAGCACACCCACCA